rnacentral:rRNA from 1 species
AAUUCGGCUUAGAGUUUGAUCCUGGCUCAGGAUGAACGCUGGCGGCGUGCUUAACACAUGCAAGUCGAACGGAAAGGCCUCUGCUUGCAGGGGUACUCGAGUGGCGAACGGGUGAGUAACACGUGGGUGAUCUGCCCUGCACUUUGGGAUAAGCCUGGGAAACUGGGUCUAAUACCAGAUAGGACCACGUCUUGGAUGGUGUGGUGGAAAGUUUUUUCGGUGUGGGAUGAGCUCGCGGCCUAUCAGCUUGUUGGUGGGGUAAUGGCCUACCAAGGCGUCGACGGGUAGCCGGCCUGAGAGGGUGUACGGCCACCUUGGGACUGAGAUACGGCCCAGACUCCUACGGGAGGCAGCAGUGGGGAAUAUUGCACAAUGGGCGCAAGCCUGAUGCAGCGACGCCGCGUGGGGGAUGACGGCCUUCGGGUUGUAAACUCCUUUCGCCAGGGACGCAAGCGUCAGUGACGGGACCUGGAUAAGAAGC